rnacentral:lncRNA from 1 species
UCCGUUUUGCUUUUGCAGAGUUUAGCACCUGCAGAAUUGGUGUUUUUUAGCCUUCGUAGGCUUUCAUUCCCCACUUUUGCGUGCUCCAUAGCCCUGCUCUGCACGCACCAUGGCUGUCAUGUCAGCAUUCUCUUUCUUCCUGCCUCUCGGUAAAUGAAAGGGUAUUAGCGGCUCUCGGAGGGGAGAUAAGAUGCAGUUUGAAUCAACAGAGUAAUUACAGAAGAAUAUGAUACUAAUGGAGCUGAUCUGAAUGCGUAUCUAAGGAUGAGUGCCGUGGCUCCAUGCCCAGGUGGCGCACCCUUUCCUCACGAUGAGUUAUUUAUGACUUGACACAUCAUUGCUCGGCAGUUUUGUGGCUCAGUUCAUGUCAAUGAUAAAGCAAACUCUGACAAUAUUUUACUUUUUUUACUGAUUCAGGCCUGGCUGCUGAGCAGCCUUCCCAACCGAUACAGCCAUGGCCACCCCCUUCCUAGCAGCAAAAGCUAAAGAAAAGGGCUGAUGCUUUGGGGGCAUCUUUCCUUAAUAAAGAAGAAGGGCUGAGCUCAGGAUACCUAAAGGCACACAUGGCUUCCCAGGAACCUUCAGAGAGCUUGGGAAUGUGCACAUCUUGACUGCUCACCCAGCCAGAGACCUGAGCUGCAGCAGCCUCCUGCUCCAGGUUCUUACAGCAGCUAAAGGCAAGAAGACGAUCAAGAUCCUGGCUCAGUUUUGAUUGCAGUAGCUUGACAGCAUCCCAGUUGCACAGUGAUGCAAGCAUUUGACCUCUUCCCAGCCAGCGUGCCUACACAAUGAUGUUUAGAAAAGUCAUAUCUUAAACCAUAAGAAGAAAGUUCAGAUUUCUUGAUUGCUUUUAAUGGAAGCAUUGAAACCACAAAAUGUGUGUGCCAACGGUGGCAAAAAUAAAAAUAAAAAUCAUCUGAGCCACUAGUUCCCCUAAUGAAACAAUUGGGCACAGCCAGACCCAGGUGUUUGAUGUGGCGGGUCCUUCGCAAGAGGCAUCGUUGUUGAUUUCAGUGCCUGAGCAGCAGACACAAAAUGAUGUUUUUUUGAACUUUGCAGGCCUCAGAAAGCCUCAGAAUGUGCACAGGGAGCUUUAUUUUGGUUAAGGAUUGUACCCAGAGA